rnacentral:rRNA from 1 species
UACAUGGGGUGCAAACGUUGCUCGGAAUUAUUGGGCGUAAAGCGCACGUAGGCGGUUCGUUAAGUCGGAUGUGAAAUCCCUCGGCUUAACCAAGGAAGUGCAUCCGAAACUACAGAGCUUGAGUACUUAAGAGGAUCGCGGAAUUCCCGGUGUAGAGGUGAAAUUCGUAGAUAUCGGGAGGAACACCAGUGGCGAAGGCGGCGAUCUGGGUUGUACCUGGACG